CACCGCGGUUAUACGAGAGGCCCGAGUUGACAGACAGCGGCGUAAAGGGUGGUUAGGGGGUUGACCAAACUAAGGCCGAACGCUCCCAAAGCUGUUAUAAGCACCCGGGAGUAUGAAACCCAAUUACGAAAGUAGCCUUAUUCACCCUGAACCCACGAAAGCUAAGGAA
rnacentral:rRNA from 1 species